UACGUAGGGGGCAAGCGUUGUCCGGAGUUACUGGGCGUAAAGCGCACGCAGGCGGUCUUUUAAGUUUGGAGUGACAGUUGGUGGCGUUAACUGCCAAAGUGCUUCGAAAACUGAAAGACUUGAGGGCUUCAGAGGGACACGGAAUUCCGGGUGUAGCGGUGGAAUGCGUAGAGAUCCGGAAGAACACCGGUGGCGAAGGCGGCCCGCUGGGCAACUGCUGACACUGAGGCGCGACGAGCGUGGGGAGCAAACAGG
rnacentral:rRNA from 1 species